rnacentral:rRNA from 1 species
GUCCAGACUCCUACGGGAGGCAGCAGUGGGGAAUAUUGCACAAUGGGGGAAACCCUGAUGCAGCGACGCCGCGUGAGCGAUGAAGUAUUUCGGUAUGUAAAGCUCUAUCAGCAGGGAAGAAAAUGACGGUACCUGACUAAGAAGCCCCGGCUAACUACGUGCCAGCAGCCGCGGUAAUACGUAGGGGGCAAGCGUUAUCCGGAUUUACUGGGUGUAAAGGGAGCGUAGACGGCUGUGCAAGCCAGAUGUGAAAGCCCGGGGCUCAACCCCGGGACUGCAUUUGGAACUGUGUGGCUGGAGUGUCGGAGAGGCAGGCGGAAUUCCUAGUGUAGCGGUGAAAUGCGUAGAUAUCAGGAGGAACACCGGUGGCGAAGGCAGCCUGCUGGACUGUAACUGACACUGAGGCUCGAAAGCGUGGGGAGCAAACAGGAUUAGAUACCCGCGUACG